rnacentral:rRNA from 1 species
UGGGGAAUAUUGGACAAUGGGCGAAAGCCUGAUCCAGCCAUGCCGCGUGAGUGACGAAGGCCUUAGGGUUGUAAAACUCUUUCGUCGGGGACGAUAAUGACGGUACCCGAAGAAGAAGCUCCGGCUAACUUCGUGCCAGCAGCCGCGGUAAUACGAAGGGAGCUAGCGUUGUUCGGAAUCACUGGGCGUAAAGCGCACGUAGGCGGAUAGUUAAGUCAGGGGUGAAAUCCUGGGGCUCAACCCCAGAACUGCCUUUGAUACUGGCUGUCUCGAGGUCGAGAGAGGUUGGUGGAAUUCCUAGUGUAGAGGUGAAAUUCGUAGAUAUUAGGAAGAACACCAGUGGCGAAGGCGGCCAACUGGCUCGACACUGACGCUGAGGCGCGAAAGCCAGGGGAGCAAACGGGAUUAGAUACCCCGGUAGUCCCUGAGCGGGCUGGCAAGGCGCAU